AAUUGAUAAUUUCAGAAUUAAAAAUGGGGAAUAUGGUUUUCAAUCAGCGUGUGAUGGACGAGGACACUCCAAAGAAAUAUGAUUUUGAUAAUUACAAUGUGAAUAAUCAUAGUGAGCAUAAUAUUCAUAUGGAAAGACGAAUAUUUCCGCAGCAUAUGUAUGGAGGACCCAAGGGGUUAGGAGACCCCUUCUACAGAGAACUAUCCAAGAUGGAGGAGGACCCAAUGAUACCUCAGAGAAUGAGAGAUAUUACAAGAACUCAAACCUGCACCAGUGAGGUGGAGAAUUUUAGUAAAUGCUCCAAAGAUAAUGGAUUUAGCAUGUUCUAUUAUUGCAGAGAUAGAGAUGUUCGGGAUCUAAUGAUGGAUUGUCAAAAAGGCUGGUUUGAUAGACCGGAAUUCCAGGAAGCAGUAAAAGAAGAAUAUUUAAACGAAAGAAGUCAUUACAGAAAUACUGGUAUAAAAACUAAACGAUAUAAUCGUGGAACUUUCAUAAAACGAGAUCUUGAGAAAGACCCUCCUCUAGAUAAAGAUGGAAACUACAGACCCCAGAAACCGGUUGGUUGGGAUGAAUCCUACCCAGAUGGACCCCCAAGCUGGGCCAACUUUAAAUAUACGUAAACUAGUAGCCAUAUAAUUGUAAACAAAUUUAUACCUACUUUCCCUGAAGUAUGUUAAGCAUUAAACUAGCAAUGAUAAUAAAAGAUCGUGUUUGAGUUUUUCAAGUUUCAACAAUUUAAAACAAUUUAUUACAUUUUUAAAAGUUGUUCUGAAACUUGACUUUUCAACGCGUUAUUUUUAUAUUUGGCUAAGUAUUAGUUUAAACUCCUGAGUCUAAAUCUAAAGAAUGCGCGAGUUUUAGACCAGGAGUUGUAGUUGUAUCGAAGUUUUAUUGAAUUCAUACAGAUCGUUGAAACACAGUCACAUACUUUCAGAA
rnacentral:misc_RNA from 1 species